UACAGAGGUCUCAACCGUUGUUCGGAUUCAUUGGGCGUAAAGGGUGCGUAGGCGGUCGUGCAAGUCGGAUGUGAAAUCUCAGGGCUCAACCCUGAAACUGCAUUCGAUACUGCGUGGCUAGAGUGCUGGAGAGGAGACUGGAAUUUACGGUGUAGCAGUGAAAUGCGUAGAUAUCGUAAGGAAGACCAGUGGCGAAGGCGAGUCUCUGGACAGCAACUGACGCUGAGGCACGAAGGUCAGGGGAGCAAACGGGG
rnacentral:rRNA from 1 species